rnacentral:rRNA from 1 species
AGAGUUUGAUAUGGCUCAGAUUGAACGCUGGCGGCAGGCCUAACACAUGCAAGUCGAGCGGUAACACAGGGAGCUUGCUCCUGGGUGACGAGCGGCGGACGGGUGAGUAAUGUCUGGGAAACUGCCUGAUGGAGGGGGAUAACUACUGGAAACGGUAGCUAAUACCGCAUACGCCCUAAGGAGCAAAGCAGGGGAACUUCGGUCCUUGCGCUAUCGGAUGAACCCAUAUGGGAUUAGCUAGUUGGUGAGGUAAUGGCUCACCAAGGCGACGAUCCCUAGCUGGUCUGAGAGGAUGAUCAGCCACACUGGGACUGAGACACGGCCCAGACUCCUACGGGAGGCAGCAGUGGGGAAUAUUGCACAAUGGGCGCAAGCCUGAUGCAGCCAUGCCGCGUGUAUGAAGAAGGCCUUCGGGUUGUAAAGUACUUUCAGCGGGGAGGAAGGUGUUGAGGUUAAUAACCUCAGCAAUUGACGUUACCCGCAGAAGAAGCACCGGCUAACUCCGUGCCAGCAGCCGCGGUAAUAC